rnacentral:rRNA from 1 species
UACAGAGGGGGCAAGCGUUGUUCGGAAUUACUGGGCGUAAAGGGCGCGUAGGUGGCCUUCUAAGUUGAACGUGAAAUCCCUGGGCUCAACCCAGGAACUGCGUCCAAGACUGGGAGGCUUGAAUCCGGGAGAGGGAUGCGGAAUUCCAGGUGUAGCGGUGAAAUGCGUAGAUAUCUGGAGGAACACCGGUGGCGAAGGCGGCGCUCUGGGCCGGUACUGACACUGAGGAGCGAAAGCGUGGGUAGCAAACAGG